UACAGAGGUCUCGAGCGUUAGGCAGAAUCACUGGGCUUAAAGCGUGUGUAGGCGGAUCGGUAAGUACCUUGUGAAAUCCCACAGCUUAACUGUGGAACUGCUUGGUAUACUGCCGGUCUUGAGCCAGCUAGGGGCUACCGGAACAAAUGGUGGAGCGGUGAAAUGCGUAGAUAUCAUUUGGAACGCCAAUGGUGAAAACAGGUAGCUGGGGCUGUGCUGACGCUGAGACACGAAAGCCAGGGGAGCAAACGGG
rnacentral:rRNA from 1 species